rnacentral:rRNA from 3 species
UUAAGCGACUAAGCGUACACGGUGGAUGCCCUGGCAGUCAGAGGCGAUGAAGGACGUGCUAAUCUGCGAUAAGCGUCGGUAAGGUGAUAUGAACCGUUAUAACCGGCGAUUUCCGAAUGGGGAAACCCAGUGUGUUUCGACACACUAUCAUUAACUGAAUCCAUAGGUUAAUGAGGCGAACCGGGGGAACUGAAACAUCUAAGUACCCCGAGGAAAAGAAAUCAACCGAGAUUCCCCCAGUAGCGGCGAGCGAACGGGGAGGAGCCCAGAGCCUGAAUCAGUGUGUGUGUUAGUGGAAGCGUCUGGAAAGGCGCGCGAUACAGGGUGACAGCCCCGUACACAAAAAUGCACAUGCUGUGAGCUCGAUGAGUAGGGCGGGACACGUGGUAUCCUGUCUGAAUAUGGGGGGACCAUCCUCCAAGGCUAAAUACUCCUGACUGACCGAUAGUGAACCAGUACCGUGAGGGAAAGGCGAAAAGAACCCCGGCGAGGGGAGUGAAAAAGAACCUGAAACCGUGUACGUACAAGCAGUGGGAGCACGCUUAGGCGUGUGACUGCGUACCUUUUGUAUAAUGGGUCAGCGACUUAUAUUCUGUAGCAAGGUUAACCGAAUAGGGGAGCCGAAGGGAAACCGAGUCUUAACUGGGCGUUAAGUUGCAGGGUAUAGACCCGAAACCCGGUGAUCUAGCCAUGGGCAGGUUGAAGGUUGGGUAACACUAACUGGAGGACCGAACCGACUAAUGUUGAAAAAUUAGCGGAUGACUUGUGGCUGGGGGUGAAAGGCCAAUCAAACCGGGAGAUAGCUGGUUCUCCCCGAAAGCUAUUUAGGUAGCGCCUCGUGAACUCAUCUCCGGGGGUAGAGCACUGUUUCGGCAAGGGGGUCAUCCCGACUUACCAACCCGAUGCAAACUGCGAAUACCGGAGAAUGUUAUCACGGGAGACACACGGCGGGUGCUAACGUCCGUCGUGAAGAGGGAAACAACCCAGACCGCCAGCUAAGGUCCCAAAGUCAUGGUUAAGUGGGAAACGAUGUGGGAAGGCCCAGACAGCCAGGAUGUUGGCUUAGAAGCAGCCAUCAUUUAAAGAAAGCGUAAUAGCUCACUGGUCGAGUCGGCCUGCGCGGAAGAUGUAACGGGGCUAAACCAUGCACCGAAGCUGCGGCAGCGACGCUUAUGCGUUGUUGGGUAGGGGAGCGUUCUGUAAGCCUGUGAAGGUGUGCUGUGAGGCAUGCUGGAGGUAUCAGAAGUGCGAAUGCUGACAUAAGUAACGAUAAAGCGGGUGAAAAGCCCGCUCGCCGGAAGACCAAGGGUUCCUGUCCAACGUUAAUCGGGGCAGGGUGAGUCGACCCCUAAGGCGAGGCCGAAAGGCGUAGUCGAUGGGAAACAGGUUAAUAUUCCUGUACUUGGUGUUACUGCGAAGGGGGGACGGAGAAGGCUAUGUUGGCCGGGCGACGGUUGUCCCGGUUUAAGCGUGUAGGCUGGUUUUCCAGGCAAAUCCGGAAAAUCAAGGCUGAGGCGUGAUGACGAGGCACUACGGUGCUGAAGCAACAAAUGCCCUGCUUCCAGGAAAAGCCUCUAAGCAUCAGGUAACAUCAAAUCGUACCCCAAACCGACACAGGUGGUCAGGUAGAGAAUACCAAGGCGCUUGAGAGAACUCGGGUGAAGGAACUAGGCAAAAUGGUGCCGUAACUUCGGGAGAAGGCACGCUGAUAUGUAGGUGAAGUCCCUCGCGGAUGGAGCUGAAAUCAGUCGAAGAUACCAGCUGGCUGCAACUGUUUAUUAAAAACACAGCACUGUGCAAACACGAAAGUGGACGUAUACGGUGUGACGCCUGCCCGGUGCCGGAAGGUUAAUUGAUGGGGUCAGCGCAAGCGAAGCUCUUGAUCGAAGCCCCGGUAAACGGCGGCCGUAACUAUAACGGUCCUAAGGUAGCGAAAUUCCUUGUCGGGUAAGUUCCGACCUGCACGAAUGGCGUAAUGAUGGCCAGGCUGUCUCCACCCGAGACUCAGUGAAAUUGAACUCGCUGUGAAGAUGCAGUGUACCCGCGGCAAGACGGAAAGACCCCGUGAACCUUUACUAUAGCUUGACACUGAACAUUGAGCCUUGAUGUGUAGGAUAGGUGGGAGGCUUAGAAGUGUGGACGCCAGUCUGCAUGGAGCCGACCUUGAAAUACCACCCUUUAAUGUUUGAUGUUCUAACGUUGACCCGUAAUCCGGGUUGCGGACAGUGUCUGGUGGGUAGUUUGACUGGGGCGGUCUCCUCCUAAAGAGUAACGGAGGAGCACGAAGGUUGGCUAAUCCUGGUCGGACAUCAGGAGGUUAGUGCAAUGGCAUAAGCCAGCUUGACUGCGAGCGUGACGGCGCGAGCAGGUGCGAAAGCAGGUCAUAGUGAUCCGGUGGUUCUGAAUGGAAGGGCCAUCGCUCAACGGAUAAAAGGUACUCCGGGGAUAACAGGCUGAUACCGCCCAAGAGUUCAUAUCGACGGCGGUGUUUGGCACCUCGAUGUCGGCUCAUCACAUCCUGGGGCUGAAGUAGGUCCCAAGGGUAUGGCUGUUCGCCAUUUAAAGUGGUACGCGAGCUGGGUUUAGAACGUCGUGAGACAGUUCGGUCCCUAUCUGCCGUGGGCGCUGGAGAACUGAGGGGGGCUGCUCCUAGUACGAGAGGACCGGAGUGGACGCAUCACUGGUGUUCGGGUUGUCAUGCCAAUGGCACUGCCCGGUAGCUAAAUGCGGAAGAGAUAAGUGCUGAAAGCAUCUAAGCACGAAACUUGCCCCGAGAUGAGUUCUCCCUGACUCCUUGAGAGUCCUGAAGGAACGUUGAAGACGACGACGUUGAUAGGCCGGGUGUGUAAGCGCAGCGAUGCGUUGAGCUAACCGGUACUAAUGAACCGUGAGGCUUAACCUU